rnacentral:rRNA from 1 species
UUGGAGGGCAAGUCUGGUGCCAGCAGCCGCGGUAAUUCCAGCUCCAAUAGCGUAUAUUAAAGUUGUUGCAGUUAAAAAGCUCGUAGUUGAAUUUCGGGAUCAUCAGGUUGGUCAUGCCAUUGGUAUGUACUAGCUUUGGUGGUUCCUACCUCUUGAAGAACCGUAAUGUCAUUAACUUGGUGUUGCGGGGAAUCAGGACUGUUACUUUGAAAAAAUUAGAGUGUUUAAAGCAGGCAAACGCUUGAAUACAUUAGCAUGGAAUAAUGAAAUAGGACGUUUGAUCUUAUUUUGUUGGUUUCUAGGAUCGACGUAAUGAUUAAUAGGGAUAGUUGGGGGCAUUAGUGUUCAAUUGUCAGAGGUGAAAUUCUUGGAUUUAUUGAAGACUAACUACUGCGAAAGCAUUUGCCAAGGAUGUUUUCAUUAAUCAAGAACGAAAGUUAGGGGAUCGAAGACGAUCAGAUACCGUCGUAGUCUUAACCAUAAACUAUGCCGACUAGGGAUCGGAUGAUGUUAAUUUUUUAAUGACUCAUUCGGCGCCUUACGGGAAAC